rnacentral:miRNA from 1 species
CUUUUUUCAUCUUAUAAUGACACUGCUUAAGCAUGGCUUACUCCUGUUAUCUCAGCACUUGGGAGGCUGAGGCAGGAGGAU